AUUGAACGCUGGCGGCAGGCUUAACACAUGCAAGUCGAACGGUAGCAGGAGAAAGCUUGCUUUCUUGCUGACGAGUGGCGGACGGGUGAGUAAUGCUUGGGAAUCUGGCUUAUGGAGGGGGAUAACUACGGGAAACUGCAGCUAAUACCGCGUAGUAUCGGAAGAUGAAAGUGCGGGACCGCAAGGCCGCAUGCCAUGAGAUGAGCCCAAGUGGGAUUAGGUAGUUGGUGGGGUAAAGGCCUACCAAGCCUGCGAUCUCUAGCUGGUCUGAGAGGAUGGCCAGCCACACUGGAACUGAGACACGGUCCAGACUCCUACGGGAGGCAGCAGUGGGGAAUAUUGCGCAAUGGGGGGAACCCUGACGCAGCCAUGCCGCGUGAAUGAAGAAGGCCUUCGGGUUGUAAAGUUCUUUCGGUAUUGAGGAAGGAGUGUAUGUUAAUAGCAUGCAUUAUUGACGUUAAAUACAGAAGAAGCACCGGCUAACUCCGUGCCAGCAGCCGCGGUAAUACGGAGGGUGCGAGCGUUAAUCGGAAUAACUGGGCGUAAAGGGCACGCAGGCGGUUAUUUAAGUGAGGUGUGAAAGCCCCGGGCUUAACCUGGGAAUUGCAUUUCAGACUGGGUAACUAGAGUACUUUAGGGAGGGGUAGAAUUCCACGUGUAGCGGUGAAAUGCGUAGAGAUGUGGAGGAAUACCGAAGGCGAAGGCAGCCCCUUGGGAAUGUACUGACGCUCAUGUGCGAAAGCGUGGGGAGCAAACAGG
rnacentral:rRNA from 1 species